rnacentral:rRNA from 1 species
UACGUAGGGAGCGAGCGUUGUCCGGAAUUACUGGGUGUAAAGGGAGCGUAGGCGGGAUCGCAAGUUGGAUGUCUAAUCUAUCGGCUCAACUGGUAGCCGCAUUCAAAACUGUGAUUCUUGAGUGGAGUAGAGGCAGGCGGAAUUCCUAGUGUAGCGGUGAAAUGCGUAGAUAUUAGGAGGAACACCAGUGGCGAAGGCGGCCUGCUGGGCUUUUACUGACGCUGAGGCUCGAAAGUGUGGGGAGCAAACAGG